CCCUCGCCCACCUCCUCCGCCCUGAGUUCUUGCCGAGUCUGCGCAGUCUGGAUCGAGCUCCUCCUUUUUUCGUUUUUUUUUUUAGGCUCUGUAUCUCCCUCUCGUGUCUCGCAGCGAAAGAUGUGGAACAUGUCUUCCAGCCGGUCCCCUCCGUGAAUGGCUCUCGACCACCAGCUGGGACCGCUGGCGGCUACGUCUUCAUGCCGUCAGGGGUAAAGAAGUCGAUGUCGCUCCAGGCAGGUGGCGUGGUGAAUGGCGUAAUACCCGGUGUAGUUCCCCCGCACGAUCGCACGCAAGAGGUGUGCAAGUACUUCGUGAAUGGCGGGUGUCUGCGUGGGACAAACUGCCCCUACCUUCACGAGCUGCCGGACGAACGUCACCUUGACGUCAACGGGCUUGGUUUCAUUCUCAACCCAAACGUUCAUAAUGCGCAGAAGACGGUGGCAUCUCCGCAGACGCAGGUGACGGCAAGCACGCCUAGCCAACCACUGAAGGCAGCCGGCUCCUCUCUCACCAUGAUGCUCAACAAUCAGAAUGCCAGCCAGAGUAGAGUGUUCAGCCCGACCAAGGCCGCAAAACACCAGCCGCCUUCCAUGAGUGGUUCUAGCUCAGCAUCACCGCAGACGAUGCCGAUGGGAAAGCUGCCAGCCCCUCCCAAGUAUAAUCCACCGGAGCCGUACUUAGAGCUCAACCUGCCUCCGGCGCUAGCAUUCCCGCUGAAGGUUCCGGCGAAAGACACCACUGCGACCCUCGCUCAUUUGAUGCUACAAAACUGAGUCCGUCACUUGGCUUUUGGCCAUCGUGAGAAGCGGCCGCACUGAACAUGGCGAAAAGAACACAUUCGAACGAGGCGUUUAUGUGUGUGUGUUUGUGCCUGUCAACUGUGUUGUCGGCUCUGCUUUGGAUGCAUGGCCGAGACUGCCGUGUCAGUGGCCCACGUUGUUCUUUUUUUUCUUCUAUGUAAGCUGUGAAGAAAUUUAACUUUUUUUGUACGUUUUGCGCUUGUUGUCCACUGUCUCCCGUUGUUGCUCUUCUGUGUGUGACUGCCUUCACCCACCUCCCCUCCCAAACGCCGCUGUUAUGUCGUGCUUCCGUAUGCGCGUGCCCGCUUUAGAAACGCUGUUGAGGAUACCGACUCACCCGCUCCGCACAGCAAAUGUAGCACGCUCAGGUUGCACGUGCACACAAGAGCAUAGCCGCUUGCUCAGAGGUAUGGUUUGACCCAAGUAUGCUCGACGUCGCGAUGCUUACUCCCUCUCUUCUUCCUCCAUACAUUCCUCAGUGCACUUGCGUCCAGCUGUUUUUUUUUUUUCCGACCCCUUUUUCCCCUCGUGGCUGUCUUCCUAUCUUUCCGUGCAGCACACCUUCUGAUAGUCGUCCUGCUGCAUUUUUUUUUCGUUCAUGUUCCUUUUUUCUGUUUUGUCUGUUUUCUCUCGAGGUUCUUUGCGGAGCUGUAGGUGUGGGGUAAUUUGUUUGAUCUCAGAGGUGACUAGCUUGAAACAAUAGCAAAGAAGAAGAUGCGGUGCUGAGAAGGAACCUGCAAAUAAAAAAAAUGUCUGACGGAGGCCUCUCAUCGCAUACGUGAAGGACGCAAUGAGAGAGGCGCACACGAACACCCAACCGCGAUGGCGGAGAUGAACCGAAAGAUGCGGCACGAGAGUGAAGACCGAGAAGAGAACGCGCGCACACACUCGCCCAUCCGCGCAUUCCUAGCGUCACACACAUUGAAGUGCUGCUGCUCUUUCUCUCUUCCUCGGCCCUCUCUUUUUCUUCGACCUUGGGUUUUCUUUGUCGUCGUCUCCUCGCUGAUUCUCUUGCCGUGCUUCUUCUCUUCACCUGCUUCUUGUUAUCCUUUCGUAUUGUGUACGUGCGCGAGGUUGUCUUCUUGUGUUUCUUCCCUGCCAAUUUUUUCUUUUGCUUUUUGAGAGUUCGCGUUUUGCCAUUUUUUUUCCGGUUCGUUACCUCCUCUUUCCCCCCUGUGUUAUGCUGUUGUGUGUGUGUGCGUUGCGUUCCUUUUGUGCGUGUUAUCCCGGCUCUGUGUUUUCCCUGUUUUCACCCGCGUGUGCUUGUUUUGUUUCAUUCAUCUCUUUUUGCCCUCUUUUGGCCUUUUCCUAACACUGAAAGAACCACCACUACUACCACUACUACCAGUAUUAAUCGACACCACC
rnacentral:misc_RNA from 1 species